rnacentral:rRNA from 1 species
UACGUAGGGUGCAAGCGUUGUCCGGAAUUAUUGGGCGUAAAGAGCUCGUAGGCGGUUCGUCACGUCGGCUGUGAAAUCCCGAGGCUCAACCUCGGGUCUGCAGUCGAUACGGGCGGACUGGAGUACUGCAGAGGAGUAGGGAAUUCCCGGUGUAGUGGUGAAAUGCGUAGAGAUCGGGAGGAACACCAGCGGCGAAGGCGCUACUCUGGGUCUGGCUUGACGCUCAGACACGAAGGCGAGGGGAGCGAACAGG